rnacentral:rRNA from 1 species
GCUUGUCUCAAAGAUUAAGCCAUGCAUGUCUCAGUACAAGCCAAAUUAAGGUGAAACCGCGAAAGGCUCAUUAAAUCAGUUAUGGUUCCUUAGAUCGUACCCACAAUUACUUGGAUAACUGUGGUAAUUCUAGAGCUAAUACAUGCAAACAGAGCUCCGACCGGAGACGGAAGGAGUGCUUUUAUUAGAUCAAAACCAAUCGGUGGCGGUCCCGUCAUCGUACAACUUGGUGACUCUGAAUAACUUUACGCUGAUCGCACGGUCAUCGCACCGGCGACGCAUCUUUCAAAUGUCUGCCUUAUCAACUGUCGAUGGUAGGUUCUGCGCCUACCAUGGUCGUAACGGGUAACGGGGAAUCAGGGUUCGAUUCCGGAGAGGGAGCCUGAGAAACGGCUACCACAUCCAAGGAAGGCAGCAGGCGCGCAAAUUACCCACUCCCGGCACGGGGAGGUAGUGACGAAAAAUAACGAUACGGGACUCAUCCGAGGCCCCGUAAUCGGAAUGAGUACACUCUAAACCCUUUAACGAGGAUCAAUUGGAGGGCAAGUCUGGUGCCAGCAGCCGCGGUA